GAGGAGUUGAGAUCCUGCUUUCUCUUCAGAAUGCCAUCUCUAGGAUGCCAAUGGGCUGUGUCUACAGUACUAUGUAGGAAAGUGCUGCAAGAGUGACUCUGGAAGGUUGUGCUGAGAACUCUGAAGGCUUGCUGUGACUUUUUGGUUCUUUCUGUCACCUCUCUGAAGACCUGGUUCAUAUCUGCAGCUGCAACUCUAUCCCUGAACUCAUCUUUGAAACUACCCAGAGAUAGACUGUCAAGAGCUUCAGAGCUUUACAACAGGAUCUUCCAAGUGCCCUGAGAGGUCAUGAUGGAGCCAAUAGAAAUAAAUCAUACAAAACAAAGCCAGAACCUGGUGGGAGGGAUGCUUACAAAACAACAUAAACGAGAAGUUGUCUGAAAAAAAAUUGUAUGGAAGGAAGAAGAGAUGAGAUAAGGGAAAUGAACUCAUAAUAGCCCCAGUUAAAAUACUUACAGUAAAAUAUCAUUAGUACUACUUGAUGUUGGUGAAAGGCUCUAGACUCAAGUCAGAAGGCCCAAUUUGUUGCUGUGAUUUCUUGAACAAAUUAUGUAAUUGUGUUGAGAUUCAGUUUUCUUUUCUAUCAUUGGGUAUUAAUAACUUCUAUGUGAUGUCAGAGUUAUGAUGUGAAGUUAAAAUAACUAAUAAAUGGGUAAACCCUGAAAA
rnacentral:lncRNA from 1 species